rnacentral:lncRNA from 1 species
CUGGUAUGUAAAGUUUUAAGGAAUGUGUUCAACUCCCGAUAAUUGUUUUUUCAUAAUUUUGACCUUCUUCUCAUGGAGAGAGGAGGAUGACAUUUUUUGAAUAUUGGGAUCUCAUACUUUGAUGCUUACAAUUCCAUGGCAAAUAGCUACAGGAGGUCAACACAGGCCCCCAGGGCUUUAUGGGACUCUUCCUUUCCCGUGACAGGGGAGGCCCAAGUGACAGAGACUUUCUUAGGGAAAAAGAAGGAUUCUAUAAUAUCCAAAAAGGCUGUCCUCCCCAGGAUGGGUUCACAAAAGGCAAUCCCUCUAGCAGAUAUUCCAAAGAUCUCACCCAAGAGACAAUUUAGCCAUGUGGAUAGGGUGAGAUAUUCAUUUUUACCUUGGUGCCCACCACAUUUAAAAUUUCCUUCAUGUAUCAUUUAGGGCACUUACUGAACCUCACUGCAGAAUCACUGAGGAAAAAAAGCUCUACACAUUAGGUUGAUACAGGGUAAGGCCAGGUGUUUAAAGGACCUAAUUCCACUUUGAUUCAUAACACCAAGUCCUGACUUGAGUCCAGCAACAGUGGUUACCCUCACGUUUUACCUCAGGGCAACCAAUAACACCUUGACACAAAUGCAUCCAUGUAUAAACAUGGGUUCUGUGGCCUGGGCCCAGGAUUCUCGGGAUAUUUUCAGGAAUCACCUUUCAGGUUGAGUCUGGUCGUCCAACAUAGACCUGACAGAGGUCUGAUGCCACAUUUGCACUUUGAGCAAAAACACACAGUUACUUUAAUCACCCUGGAAAUACCUAACUCUAGUUGUCUUAUUCAAUUAUGUUUUGUCCUAUCCAUAGAACUUGGGCAACUCAACUUGAAUGUUGAUACCUACAAAAUUGUGAGGCUAAGGUCACAUGUAAUGUGGCUGUUGCUUCGAGAGGAAGCAGUAAAUCUUUAUUGGAAUCCAGGGUUCCUUUGUGUGUCCACUGAUGAUUCUCUAUGGUAGCCAGGAAGACUUUUGUGUGCUGGGCUGGUAGUAAUACAAGAGGUAACCCCUGGACAGUUUCUGCACAAUGAAUUUGUGCCAGUAGAGCUCCAGAAAAAUGUCUCUCUCCUCUGACCUUUAUUUAAAGAAGGGACAACAAGCGCCUUGACUUCAUUCCCUUUCCUCCUUUGGGAAGACAUUCUUCCAAGUAUCAAGAAAGGGAGCCCUAGCUUCCCUGGAGGACAUUUCGUCCCAGCAAUCCCUCUCCAUUUCCAUGUGACCAUUCCUACUCUGAGCCAGUUUUGGAAAGGAAGUCAUCUCACAUGCCACCUUGGAAGUCAGAGAAACACAGAUAAU